rnacentral:rRNA from 1 species
UACGUAGGGGGCUAGCGUUGUCCGGAAUCAUUGGGCGUAAAGCGCGUGUAGGCGGCCCGGUAAGUCCGCUGUGAAAGUCGGGGGCUCAACCCUCGAAUGCCGGUGGAUACUGUCGGGCUAGAGUGCGGAAGAGGCGAGUGGAAUUCCUGGUGUAGCGGUGAAAUGCGCAGAUAUCAGGAGGAACACCGAUUGCGAAGGCAGCUCGCUGGGACGUAACUGACGCUGAGACGCGAAAGCGUGGGGAGCAAACAGG